rnacentral:rRNA from 1 species
UACGAAGGGGGCUAGCGUUGUUCGGAAUUACUGGGCGUAAAGGGCGCGUAGGCGGUGUGUCAAGUCAGGCGGGAAAGCCCCGGGCUCAACCUGGGAACCGCGCUUGAGACUGGCACGCUAGAGUUCGGGAGAGGAUGGUGGAAUUCCCAGUGUAGAGGUGAAAUUCGUAGAUAUUGGGAAGAACACCGAUGGCGAAGGCAGCCAUCUGGACCGACACUGACGCUGAGGCGCGAAAGCGUGGGGAGCAAACAGG